rnacentral:rRNA from 1 species
CCUACGGGGGGCAGCAGUGGGGAAUAUUGGACAAUGGGCGCAAGCCUGAUCCAGCCAUGCCGCGUGUGUGAAGAAGGUCCUCGGAUUGUAAAGCACUUUAAGUUGGGAGGAAGUUCAGUAAGUUAAUACCUUGUUGAAUUGACGUUACCGACAGAAUAAGCACCGGCUAACUCUGUGCCAGCAGCCGCGGUAAUACAGAGGGUGCAAGCGUUAAUCGGAAUUACUGGGCGUAAAGCGCGCGUAGGUGGUUUUGUAAGUUGGAGGUGAAAUCCCCG